rnacentral:rRNA from 1 species
UGGGGAAUAUUGCGCAAUGGGGGAGCCCUGACGCAGCAACGCCGCGUGCAGGAAGAAGGUCUUCGGAUUGUAAACUGUUGUCGCAAGGGAAGAAGACAGUGACGGUACCUUGUGAGAAAGUCACGGCUAACUACGUGCCAGCAGCCGCGGUAAUACGUAGGUGACAAGCGUUGUCCUGAUUUACUGGGUGUAAAGGGCGCGUAGGCGGACUGUCAAGUCAGUCGUGAAAUACCGGGGCUUAACCCUGGGGCUGCGAUUGAAACUGACAGCCUUUGAGUAUCGGAGAGGAAAGCGGAAUUCCUAGUGUAGCGGUGAAAUGCGUAGAUAUUAGGAGGAACACCAGUGGCGAAGGCGGCUUUCUGGACGACAACUGACGCUGAGGCGCGAAAGUGUGGGGAGCAAACAGGAUUAGAUACC